GGGGAGGGAAAGUGGUCACAGGCAAGGGCUAGGCUAGUGGGAGGGAAAGUGGUCACAGGCAGGGCUAGUGGGAGGGAAGGGAAAGUGGUCACAGGCAGGGCUAGUGGGAGGGAAGGGAAGUGGUCACAGGCAUGGCUAGGCUAGUGGGACAGGAGGGAAAGUGGUCACAUGCAGAGCUAGGCUAGUGGGACAGGAGGGAAAGUGGUCACAGGCAGAGCUAGGCUAGUCGGACGGGAGGGAAAGUGGUCACAGGCAGGGCUAGUGGGAGGGGAGGGAAAGUGGUCACAGGCAGGGCUAGUGGGAGGGAAGGGAAGGGUGGUGACAGGCAGGGUUAGUGGGAGGGAAGGGAAGGGUGGUGACAGGCAGGGCUAGUGGGAGGGGAAGUGGUCACAGGCAGGGCUAGGCUAGUGGGAGGGAAAGUGGUCACAGGCAGGGCUAGGCUAGUGGGAGGAGGGAAAGUG
ensembl:lncRNA